AAGCGGCAACAGCUCAAAUUUGAAAUCUGGCUCUCGGGCCCGAGUUGUAAUUUGUAGAGGAUGCUUUUGAUGCGGUGCCUUCCGAGUUCCCUGGAACGGGACGCCAUAGAGGGUGAGAGCCCCGUCUGGUUGGAUGCCAAAUCUCUGUAAAGCUCCUUCAACGAGUCGAGUAGUUUGGGAAUGCUGCUCUAAAUGGGAGGUAUAUGUCUUCUAAAGCUAAAUACCGGCCAGAGACCGAUAGCGCACAAGUAGAGUGAUCGAAAGAUGAAAAGCACUUUGAAAAGAGAGUUAAAAAGUACGUGAAAUUGUUGAAAGGGAAGCGUUUAUGACCAGACUUGGGCUUGGUUAAUCAUCUGGGGUUCUCCCCAGUGCACUUUUCCAGUCCAGGCCAGCAUCAGUUUUCCCCGGGGGAUAAAGGCGUCGGGAAUGUGGCUCUCUUCGGGGAGUGUUAUAGCCCGUCGUGUAAUACCCUGGGGGGGACUGAGGUUCGCGCAUCUGCAAGGAUGCUGGCGUAAUGGUCAUCAACGACCCG
rnacentral:rRNA from 1 species